GGCGGGGUAGUUCAGAGGAGAGAACGCCGGACUACUAACCCAGCUGUCGCCAGUUCGAGACUGGCCCCGCCACCA
rnacentral:tRNA from 1 species